UACGGAAGGCAGCAGUGGGGAAUAUUGCACAAUGGGCGCAAGCCUGAUGCAGCCAUGCCGCGUGUAUGAAGAAGGCCUUCGGGUUGUAAAGUACUUUCAGUCGUGAGGAAGGUGUUAAGGUUAAUAACCUUAGCAAUUGACGUUAGCGACAGAAGAAGCACCGGCUAACUCCGUGCCAGCAGCCGCGGUAAUACGGAGGGUGCGAGCGUUAAUCGGAAUUACUGGGCGUAAAGGGUACGCAGGCGGUUAAUUAAGUUGGAUGUGAAAUCCCCGGGCUUAACCUGGGAAUGGCAUUCAAGACUGGUUAGCUAGAGUCUUGUAGAGGGGGUAGAAUUCCAUGUGUAGCGGUGAAAUGCGUAGAGAUGUGGAGGAAUACCGGUGGCGAAGGCGGCCCCUGGACAAAGACUGACGCUCAUGUGCGAAAGCGUGGGGAGCAAACAGGGAUUAGAUACC
rnacentral:rRNA from 1 species